AUACGGAGGGGGCUAGCGUUGUUCGGAAUUACUGGGCGUAAAGCGCGCGUAGGCGGAUUGAUCAGUCAGGGGUGAAAUCCCGAGGCUUAACCUCGGAACUGCCUUUGAUACUGUCAGUCUUGAGUUCGAGAGAGGUGAGUGGAAUUCCUAGUGUAGAGGUGAAAUUCGUAGAUAUUAGGAAGAACACCAGUGGCGAAGGCGGCUCACUGGUUCGAUACUGACGCUGAGGUGCGAAAGCGUGGGGAGCAAACAGGAUUAGAUACCCCGGUAGUCC
rnacentral:rRNA from 1 species